UACGUAGGGGGCAAGCGUUGUCCGGAAUUAUUGGGCGUAAAGAGCGCGUAGGCGGUCUGAUAAGUCGGUUGUGAAAGUCGGGGGCUCAACCCUCGGAUGCCGAUCGAUACUGUCAGGCUAGAGUCCGGAAGAGGCGAGUGGAAUUCCUGGUGUAGCGGUGAAAUGCGCAGAUAUCAGGAGGAACACCAAUGGCGAAGGCAGCUCGCUGGGACGGUACUGACGCUGAGGAGCGAAAGCGUGGGGAGCGAACAGG
rnacentral:rRNA from 1 species